AAAAAAUUUUAUUACAAGAUUACCUCAUGGGAGGUUAUCUAGAUAGCCACCCCUCUUGAUAAUCCAGAUUACCUCAUGGGAGGUAAUCUGGAUUACCAUGAGGUAAUCUGAAUUACUUGAUAAUCUGGAUUACCAACCCAAAAAGCAUAUCAAAUGUGAUAAUCUGAUGGGGCCCUUUUAAAUUGCCAGUAAUUUAGAUAGAUUGCCAGCUACCAAAUGCAACCUGAAUUCCUUUUCCCUUUUUUUUCAUCCACUCAAUCUCCUCAAUCUACUCUGAUUAAAUUUGGAAUCAUUUAUAGCUUGGAAAGAUGUUGGAGAGCUGUUUUUAACUAUUGGAAAGGAGAAAAUAGUUGUUGGAAGUCGUGUUGUACAUUUUGUGCUCGUAGAAAAGCUUGCUAUUGGGGUUGUCAGGUGCAGAGAAGCUAACUCAUAAAAUCCUAUGGUUGACUCCAGAAAUUCCAAAGUCGACUCCUAAAGUCCUAGGGUUGACUCCUAAUGGGC
rnacentral:lncRNA from 1 species